AAAGUUGGUCGGGCAGUCGCGCUUAUCUAUUUGUUUAGAGAGUGAGGAAAGUCCGGGCUUUAUAGAGCAAGAUGCCAGAUAACAUCUGGGGGGCGUGAGCCUACGGAAAGUGCAGCAGAAAAUAUACCGCUUUGCAUAGCAGAGUAAGGGUGAAAAGGUGUGGUAAGAGCGCACCGCAUUGGUGGUAACAUUCAAUGGCAUUGUAAACCCCAUCUAAAGCAAGACCAAAUAGCGUCACUAUAGUACUGCUCGUACUGUGGCAGGGUAGGUUGCUUGAGUAUGUUAGUGAUAACAUACCUAGAUAAAUGACUGUUUAUUACAGAACCCGGCUUAUAGACCAACUUUAUAU
rnacentral:RNase_P_RNA from 1 species